GCCGACGCAACACAGGCCGAGCCGCCGUCGAUUCCGUGGCGGCGGCAAUUAUAUACAUUCAUUCAGACGCGCCGAUGCCAGUCAGUCACUCGACGUCGUAGGACGCGUGAAGACAUACUUGGCCGGAGCGUGCCAAAAGAUGCAGUAGUCAGUUAUCAACUACGCAUGAUCUUGUUUCACGGGAUCAGUGAUAUAGCAAAAAAGUGUAUUGUGCAUUACUUCGUGUGUAUACUAGAGUGCUUGUGUCAAAAGUACGCGUUGAUAAUUUCGUGCUUAGCGUUUGAACCCCUAUUUCACGACGGAGGCCAAAAAAGCUACUAAAACUGAUCGAGGCAAGUUUUUUUUAUGCAUGAUCAAAGGAUCUUGAGGAAAUUAACUUCGUUAUUAACAGAUCGAAUCGCGUUAGAGGAUACCUUCAAGUAUGAUUAAAGUAGUUUGCUUUAGCGGAGAACUCAUAUACGAACAGUAUACAUAGCAAAGAAGCAGCAUACAGUAACGCGAAUUAGUAAAAGAGAAA